ensembl:snRNA LOC120100311 U2 spliceosomal RNA
AUCGCUUCUCGGCCUUUUGGCUAAGAUCAAGUGUAGUAUCUGUUCUUAUCAGUUUAAAAUUCAAGGAUUUUAAUUAAGAGUCUGUGUGGGCAUACAUUUUUUUGCAACCUAUU